CCUGAUGGGGAUCACUGUUCCAAGAACAACAGCCCGAGUCACACGGGCCUGUGUGCACGUCCCAGACGUGGUUUGCAAACUCACGCUCACUCACUUGGUGGAGAGAAAACGAAGGUUCCGCAGGGUUUCAUCAGGACCCACACCCACCACGGGCAGGGGUGCCCCCGGCGCAGAGGGGUCCCUGAGGUUCCGCCAACACCAACCAGCUGGAGCCAGAGGCCUGAAGGAGCAGCUGAGGACCAGGAACGAUGGCAGUGCCUGCGACAGGCUGUGACCAGGACGCGGCAGCUGUGUGUGUCCAGGGCCUGGAGCCGGACGUGAAACACAGAGCCUAAGAAACAGUAGCUUCACCUUAAGGAAUGUACCACUGCGCUUUGAAAUUCAGGCCAGAAAGUGAGCCGCCGCGUGGGGACCCACGAUGCUUGUCUGUGAGAUUCCCACACCAGGACACGUAUUUCCUGCCCGGAAGACUGCUUUUAUUUGUACGUUUGGAAAGGGCUUUCGAUGAAACAGAGGACACCCAGGAUGUCCUUCCCAGGGGAUGAGUUAUCCCGCAUUAUGAAAGUGUCCCAGUUCAUGCCAGGCCCAGGGGUUGAGCGUCGACCUAGGAACCAGGAGGUCACGGUUCGAUUCCCAUUCAGGGCACAGGCCCGGGUUGCGGGCUCGAUCCUCAGUGUGGGGCGUGCAGGAGGCAGCCCAUCGAUGAUUCUCUCUCAUCAUGGAUGCUUCUAUCUCUC